rnacentral:lncRNA from 1 species
GCUCCGGGAUGGGCAGUAGCGCAUCACCGCUGGCACUUCUGCUUACUCUCGUGUGCUUUUUAGAGCGAAAAACACUUAAAAUCAAACGUCAGUUUUACUGCUCUGAAACUGUGCAUAUGAAAUUCGGAUUGUACACCGUCACGUCACAAGUUCGAAGCAGUUCCUUGUGAAAAAGCAUGUUCUUACCCUGCCCUGCUGGGUUGUGAACACGAGAAGAGCAGAAAAAAAGCAGCGGCCGCGGAGACACUUGUCACUUCAGCGGAUUCACACCAUUAGCCUUCAUACGACCCAUUUCCUAAAUACUAGUCAAGUACACGGCAAGUAGUAGUAGUAGUGAUCUUUCUCUGAAAGCAACGUUCAUACUAAAAAGCAGCAGUAUGGUCAAAAACUUUUUGGAACUUGAUGACUUUUAUUUGUCAACGAUAUAUUCACACUGGAAAGCUUCAUCUGAGGGAGUCUCAUAAAGGUGAAAGAGCCACACCUGGUGCUCGUUUCCACCUAUCAAGCCCCCAUAUCCCGCCGCCCCCCAGUUCCAGACAGAGCCAAGUGCAGAGCAACCAAUAUCAAGACAUUUUCAUACCCCAGUGCAGCAAGUGCGAUAUGACAAGUGGGAGAUGAACAUGGAAUCAGAUGCUGUGUUUUUUUUUUUUUUUUUUUUUUUUUCUCUCAAAGCUUUCUAGGCUUCUUUGAAAGAUGUUUCUGGUUUAAUUUAGCAUUUUUCUCUUUGGCA